AGAGUUUGAUCCUGGCUCAGGACGAACGCUGGCGGCGUGCCUAACACAUGCAAGUCGAGCGGGGAUAUAUGCUGGAGCGCUUCGGUGUGAAGGGAUAUAUCCUAGCGGCGGACGGGUGAGUAACGCGUGGGGAACCUGCCCUUAAGUUCGGGAUACCAACUCGAAAGGGUUGUUAAUACCGGAUGUGCUGCAUUAGCCGCAUGGCGGAUGUAGUAAAGGGGAGACCCGCUUAAGGAUGGCCCUGCGUUCCAUUAGCUAGUUGGUGGGGUAACGGCCUACCAAGGCGACGAUGGAUAGCCGGCCUGAGAGGGCGACCGGCCACACUGGGACUGAGACACGGCCCAGACUCCUACGGGGGGCAGCAGUGGGGAAUCUUGCACAAUGGGCGGAAGCCUGAUGCAGCGACGCCGCGUGAGGGACGAAGGUCUUCGGAUCGUAAACCUCUGUCCAAAGGGACGAAGGAGUGACGGUACCUUUGGAGGAAGCCCCGGCCAACUACGUGCCAGCAGCCGCGGUAAU
rnacentral:rRNA from 1 species